AUUCGUAGAAUAGCCUUUCUCAACCUUGGGUUCCCAGAUGUUGUUGGACUGCAAGUCCAAUAUCCAUAGACAGCAGGGGCAGCAGUCAGGGAUGAUGGAAGUGGUAGUUCAACAACAUCUGGGAACUCAAGGUUGAGAAAGGCUGUCCUAGAAU